rnacentral:tRNA from 1 species
GUGGGUAUAGCUCAGUGGUAGAGUUCAUGCUUAGCAUGCACGAGGUCCUGGGUUCAAUUCCAAGUACCUCCA